GACGAACGCUGGCGGCGUGCUUAACACAUGCAAGUCGAACGGAAAGGCCCUGCUUUUGUGGGGUGCUCGAGUGGCGAACGGGUGAGUAACACGUGAGUAACCUGCCCUUGACUUUGGGAUAACUUCAGGAAACUGGGGCUCAUACCGGAUAGGAGCUCCUGCUGCAUGGUGGGGGUUGGAAAGUUUCGGCGGUUGGGGAUGGGCUCGCGGCUUGUCAGCUUGUUGGUGGGGUAGUGGCUUGCCAAGGCUUUGACGGGUAGCCGGCCCGAGAGGGGGGCCGGCCCACUUGGGACUGAGAUACGGCCCAGACUCCUACGGGAGGCAGCAGUGGGGAAGAUUGCACAAUGGGCGGAAGCCUGAUGCAGCAACGCCGCGUGCGGGAUGACGGCCUUCGGGUUGUAAACCGCUUUCGCCUGUGACGAAGCGUGAGUGACGGUAAUGGGUAAAGAAGCACCGGCUAACUACGUG
rnacentral:rRNA from 1 species